rnacentral:rRNA from 1 species
CUACGAAGGGUGCGAGCGUUAAUCGGAAUUACUGGGCGUAAAGCGCGCGUAGGCGGUUGGAUAAGUCGGAUGUGAAAGCCCCGGGCUCAACCUGGGAAUUGCAUUCGAAACUGUCCGGCUAGAGUAUGGUAGAGGGAAGCGGAAUUCCACAUGUAGCGGUGAAAUGCGUAGAUAUGUGGAGGAACACCAGUGGCGAAGGCGGCUUCCUGGACCAAUACUGACGCUGAGGUGCGAAAGCGUGGGGAGCAAACAGGAUUAGAUACCCUAGUAGUCC